rnacentral:rRNA from 1 species
AUGAUCCAGGUCGCCCACUGCACCAAGGCCGCGGUGGCAUGGACCGCCAUCAGGGAGAUGUUCCUCUCCCAGACGCAGGCCAACAUCGUCAACACGCAGAUCGCCCUCUCCAACACCAAAAAGGGCACCACGACCAUCGCCGACUACAUCGGGCGCAUGAAGGCGCUAGGCGACGAGAUGGCUUCAGCAGGGAAGCCGCUCGACGAUGAUGACAUGGUCUCCUACAUCCUCGCUGGACUAGACUACGACUACAUCUCGUUUGUCUCUUCCAUCUGUGCUGCGAGGACCGAACCAAUCAAGGUAGCAGAACUCUACUCUCAGUUGAUUGGCUUUGAAAAACGCCUUGUUGUGUUCGAAGGUGGCAACCACUCCUCCCAGUCCUCGGCCAACGUCGUCUCCCGUGGCCGUGGUGGUUUCGGCCGAGGUGGAGGUGGCCGCGGCAAUGGUGGUCGCGGCAACGGAGGAGGUGGACGCGGCAACAGAGGCCGUGGAAAUGGAGGCCACGGCAACGGCAACGGAAACGGAGGAGUUGAUGAUCUUCCUAAAGUCACUUGCCAAAUCGGCAAGAGGCAAAACCACACCGCCCUCAAAUGCUAG